rnacentral:rRNA from 1 species
GACGAACGCUGGCGGCGUGCUUAACACAUGCAAGUCGAACGGUAAGGCCCUUCGGGGUACACGAGUGGCGAACGGGUGAGUAACACGUGGGUGAUCUGCCCUGCACUUUGGGAUAAGCCUGGGAAACUGGGUCUAAUACCGAAUAUGACCAUGGACUUCACGGUUUGUGGUGGAAAGCUUUUGCGGUGUGGGAUGGGCCCGCGGCCUAUCAGCUUGUUGGUGGGGUAAUGGCCUACCAAGGCGACGACGGGUAGCCGGCCUGAGAGGGUGACCGGCCACACUGGGACUGAGAUACGGCCCAGACUCCUACGGGAGGCAGCAGUGGGGAAUAUUGCACAAUGGGCGCAAGCCUGAUGCAGCGACGCCGCGUGGGGGAUGACGGCUUCGGGUUGUUAAACCCGUCUUUCGUACCCAGGGACGAAACGGCGAGAGUGACGGUACC